rnacentral:tmRNA from 1 species
GGGGCUGAUUGGUUUUGACAGCGGGUAGAAGAGGUAAGUAAGCAUGUCGGGUUUUGGUUGUUGACCCGUAAUAAAUAAUAAUCAAAAUUUUAAUUGGCGAAAAUAAUUACGCUCUUGCUGCGUAACCGAAUUACAGUAGGUUAAUGCUUAAUCCCGAUACAAUGUGUCGGGACAGGACAUCGCCCGGAUGCUAAUGCUUUGAAGCGGUCCGAUUCGGCGGUGCAAGUAAAUCGAAGCUAGCGGAAUUGGUGCUCCGACGAUUCUGCGAAAAUAAAGGAGCUAAGGUAGGAUUUGGUGGCUUUGAUCCGGCUCCUAUUCGAAAAUCAAGUCAAAGAUAAGCAUGUAGAAAGCUUAUUGCUUCCUCGUUUGGACGCGGGUUCGACUCCCGCCAGCUCCACU